CUGGCCCACACUUUGCUCUGACUCAUAACUGUUAAUUCUUCUAACACACAAAAUGUACCGCAGACUUCAUUUUUCUUACAAGCUGCAUUAUUAUUAUUACAGGCAUAAAACAAGUAGAGGAUAGGCUGUAUAAGCUGCACAUCGAUGGAAAGAGACAGGCUGUAUCUCGUUUGCCAGCCUCAGCAAUUGCCCAGGUUCCAUAAUGGCAGCUCACCCAAGCCUGCCUUCCUCUUUGCACAGAGAAGGGUUGGUCCUGUAGCAUCCACCAUCUGCUACCUGCUGUGUGUAACUUUCCUGGCUGCACUUGCCUGCUAAGCACUGUGCACAACCCCUCUCUGUUGCUUACUCUGUCCAAAUUCUGCUUCUGUACCACAGCAGUCAUCAUAGGAAGAGUGCUCACAUCUGUUGUGAGUAGAAGGUGAAUUUAUCCACCUGUCCUAGGGCAGCAGUGACUUCUCUUAGCACAGCCCCUCCUUUACAGUAGUGGCUCUGAUCUGGUCACCUUUUUGCUCCUACUGGCAAUAGUUCAUUCUUUUUCUAGUAAUCUACUGGAAGACAAGAGAGCAUUGGACCUACAUGGCUCAGGAAGGGAACACCAGGAAAGGAUGGGCACGAAUUAUUCCAAAAGAAACAACCUUCUGACUUGCCAGGGUCUACGGGCAACAGGGUAUAAACCACUGAGUUCUAGAAGGUGCAUUGUUACUGAAGCUAUGAAAACAAUCUUGGUGACAUCAGGUUGCCCAGAGAAGCUGUGGAUAUUCCAUGCCUGGAGGUGUUCACGGCCAGGCUAGAUGGAGCCCUGGGCAGCCUGGACUGGCAGGAGGCAAUCUUGCCCAUGGCAGGGGAGCUGAAGCUUGAUGAUUUUAAAGGUCUGGUCCUAUGCUGUUCUGUGACAGUGUUAGUGAUUUGUAGUUUAUGAGCCAGUGAGGAACUUCCAGAGAAGGUAAUAACAAAUUACGAGGGACAGAGAAGUAAGAAGAAAAUGCAACUCUCCUUAAUGGACAGAUUGUGGGGAAAAUGGCUUUCUGACAAUCCUUUUGAUAGAUUUCAUCAAAUAAAUUGCUGCUGACCUGGUACUUCUCUCUGGUG
rnacentral:lncRNA from 1 species